rnacentral:rRNA from 1 species
GAUGAACGCUGGCGGCGUGCCUAAUACAUGCGGGUCGAGCGAACGGACGAGAAGCUUGCUUCUCUGAUGUUAGCGGCGGACGGGUGAGUAACACGUGGAUAACCUACCUAUAAGACUGGGAUAACUUCGGGAAACCGGAGCUAAUACCGGAUGAUAUUUUGAACCGCAUGGUUCAAAAGUGAAAGACGGUCUUGCCGUCACUUAUAGAUGGAUCCGCGCUGCAUUAGCUAGUUGGUAAGGUAACGGCUUACCAAGGCAACGAUGCAUAGCCGACCUGAGAGGGUGAUCGGCCACACUGGAACUGGGACACGGUCCAGACUCCUACGGGAGGCAGCAGUAGGGAAUCUUCCGCAAUGGGCGAAAGCCUGACGGAGCAACGCCGCGUGAGUGAUGAAGGUCUUCGGAUCGUAAAACUCUGUUAUUAGGGAAGAACAUAUGUGUAAGUAACUGUGCACAUCUUGACGGUACCUAAUCAGAAAGCCACGGCUAACUACGUG